rnacentral:rRNA from 1 species
UACGUAGGGUGCGAGCGUUUGUCCGGAAUUAUUGGGCGUAAAGAGCUCGUAGGCGGUUUGUUGCGUCGACUGUGAAAACCUGGGGCUUAACUCUGGGCUUGCAGUCGAUACGGGCAGACUUGAGUUCGGUAGGGGAGACUGGAAUUCCUGGUGUAGCGGUGAAAUGCGUAGAUAUCUGGAGGAACACCGGUGGCGAAGGCGGCAUCCUGGACCGGCAUUGACGCUGAGGCGCGAAAGCCAGGGGAGCAAAGCGGG